rnacentral:rRNA from 1 species
GACGGGUGAGUAAUGCCUGGGAAAUUGCCCUGAUGUGGGGGAUAACCAUUGGAAACGAUGGCUAAUACCGCAUAAUAGCUUCGGCUCAAAGAGGGGGACCUUCGGGCCUCUCGCGUCAGGAUAUGCCCAGGUGGGAUUAGCUAGUUGGUGAGGUAAUGGCUCACCAAGGCGACGAUCCCUAGCUGGUCUGAGAGGAUGAUCAGCCACACUGGAACUGAGACACGGUCCAGACUCCUACGGGAGGCAGCAGUGGGGAAUAUUGCACAAUGGGCGCAAGCCUGAUGCAGCCAUGCCGCGUGUAUGAAGAAGGCCUUCGGGUUGUAAAGUACUUUCAGCAGUGAGGAAGGUGGAGUCGUUAAUAGCGGCCUCAUUUGACGUUAGCUGCAGAAGAAGCACCGGCUAACUCCGUGCCAGCAGCCGCGGUAAUACGGAGGGUGCGAGCGUUAAUCGGAAUUACUGGGCGUAAAGCGCAUGCAGGUGGUUUGUUAAGUCAGAUGUGAAAGCCCGGGGCUCAACCUCGGAAUUGCAUUUGAAACUGGCAAACUAGAGUACUGUAGAGG